UACAUGUGUGUGUGAAAAUUUUUUUAAAGAAAAUUUCCUUUUCCUGACACUGUGUGUGCUUUGGUUUUGGUCAAUGUUGAGCAGUGUAUGUGUGUGUGUGUGUGAAACAUCACACGUUAUUCUAAAAAAUUUAAUCGAAAAUGCGAGCCAAGUGGCGUAAGAAGCGAAUGCGAAGGUUGAAACGAAAACGUAGGAAGAUGAGGGAAAGGUCCAAGUAGACCAUCAUCCAUGCCGAUUUUGGACAUCAUCAUUAGAUUUUGGAUUGGAUAUAAUUUUCGAUAAACUUAUAUUCUGAUUCUCGAAAAAAAAUGAUUCCAAUAUAAUCGGCUUCAAUUCUCUCUUACAAUGAUUGAACAUUUUGUAUUCUUUCAUAUUGAAUUUUGAAAAAAAACCUAAAAUCUUGAAAUAAAACUUCUUUUGAACCAAA